rnacentral:rRNA from 1 species
AUUGAACGCUGGCGGCAGGCUUAACACAUGCAAGUCGAGCGGUAACAGAGAGAAGCUUGCUUCUCUGCUGACGAGCGGCGGACGGGUGAGUAAUGCCUAGGAAUCUGCCUAGUAGUGGGGGAUAACUUGCCGAAAGGUAAGCUAAUACCGCAUACGGCCUACGGGAGAAAGGAGGGGACCUUCGGGCCGUUAGCUAUUAGAUGAGCCUAGGUCGGAUUAGGUAGUUGGUGAGGUAAUGGCUCACCAAGACCGCGAUCCUUAACUGGUCUGAGAGGAUGAUCAGUCACACUGGAACUGAGACACGGUCCAGACUCCUACGGGAGGCAGCAGUGGGGAAUAUUGGACAAUGGGGGGAACCCUGAUCCAGCCAUGCCGCGUGUGUGAAGAAGGUCUUAGGAUUGUAAAGCACUUUAAGUUGGGAGGAAGAGCAGUUAACUAAUAUUUGACUGUUUUGACGUUACCGACAGAAUAAGCACCGGCUAACUUCGUGCCAGCCGCCGCCGUAA